GACCGCUAGGGAGCUCACGUACCCGGACACACGCACGAGCGCAGAACAAAGGGCCGGACAUGCUCCAGCCCGCUCCGCCUGCGCCUCCGCCUUGCGCGCGGGGGCCCCGGUUACCUGCGCAGAGCCAGCUGUGAUGUAAAGAAGUUUGUGCUGCAUGAGAGAGAUAGCACCUGAAGACAAUGAGGCCCUGGAGGAUGAGAGACUCUAAAGGAAAAGGGAAGGGCCUGCUGUCUUCCAGCCACGCCCACCCCCAACUGAGAAGCUGGGUGAGGCCAUCUUGCAUCUUUAGCCCCAGUCAAGUUACCUUAACAGAGACUAGCUGACCCUGCCAAGCCCUGCCCAAGUUACAGAAUCAUGAGCAAAUAAAUGGCUGUUUCUGUUUUAAGCUUUUAAAUUUUGGGGGUGGUUUAUGUGUCAAUAAUAACUGAAACAGAUAAUAUAUACAGAAUAAACUUUAGUUUUAAUAAUCU
rnacentral:antisense_RNA from 1 species